CUAAUACCGCAUGAGAUCUACGGAUGAAAGCAGGGGACCUUCGGGCCUUGUGCUACUAGAGCGGCUGAUGGCAGAUUAGGUAGUUGGUGGGGUAAAGGCUUACCAAGCCUGCGAUCUGUAGCUGGUCUGAGAGGACGACCAGCCACACUGGGACUGAGACACGGCCCAGACUCCUACGGGAGGCAGCAGUGGGGAAUUUUGGACAAUGGGCGAAAGCCUGAUCCAGCAAUGCCGCGUGCAGGAUGAAGGCCCUCGGGUUGUAAACUGCUUUUGUACGGAACGAAAAGCCUGGGGCUAAUAUCCCCGGGUCAUGACGGUACCGUAAGAAUAAGCACCGGCUAACUACGUGCCAGCAGCCGCGGUAAUACGUAGGGUGCAAGCGUUAAUCGGAAUUACUGGGCGU
rnacentral:rRNA from 1 species